rnacentral:tRNA from 1 species
GUAGUGGUGGUUCAGUGGUAGAGUUCUUGCCUUCCAUGCCAGAGACCUGGGUUCAUACCUGGCCAGUGCA